UCCCUGGUGGCUCAAUUGGUAAAAGAGUCUGCCUGCAAUGUGGGAGACCCAGGUUUGAUCCCUGGUUGGGGAA
rnacentral:tRNA from 1 species